AGCCCAUCACCUCCCAACAAACACUUCUUUAACGUCACUAGCUUGACCCAAUAAGUUCAUCAUCAUAACAUCCAUCAGUAGAUGCUGUUAGUAACAUCCAUCAGUAGAUGUCUAAUCACAUAGCAUCCAUCAAUAGAUGCUAAUUUUUCUUGUCUUCAUUGGUAUCCCUCAGUAGACACCAAUCUUUCUCAUCUUCAUUGGCAUCCAUCAGUAGAUGCCUAAUCACCUAACAUCCAUCAGUAAAUGUCUAGUCACCAUCCUUUUCCAUAGCAGCAUCCAUUAGUAGAUACUCUCUUAAACUCUUCCAGCAUCCAUCAGUAGAUGCAAAUCUUUCUCAUCAACAUCCUUCAGUAGAUGUUAAUCUUUCUCUUCUUCAUCAGUAUCCAUCAGUAGACACUGUCAGUACUGCCAUCAGAAGCAGUACAUACCUAAAAAAAACUCAAACACACAAAAACAAAAUGAAAUCCAAAC
rnacentral:lncRNA from 1 species